rnacentral:tRNA from 2 species
CCGCCCGUAGCUCAGCGGAUAGAGCAUCGGUCUUCGGAACCGAGUGUCGUGGGUUCGAUUCCCUCCGGGCGGGCCA